UCUGCAAGCAAUGUUCAGGGCAACAGUGGGACAUUUCACUAAGGAAACUCAAAGAUCCUGUAGCGAGAAGAAGGCGUGGCCUGGAUUGAGGUGGUCUUCGAUGAUGGAUGCUGCUUUCUUGUAGCAGAGCUCUAUAAAUCAAUAAAAAAUAUUGGAAAAAGAAAAGAAAGACUGGCUCUGUUAUAGGAAUCAAACUGGACACACUGAAAGCUGUGGUGGAAGAAAGGACCCUACAGAAAAUCCUGACAAUUCUGGACAACGUUUCUCACCCUCUGCACGCCACCUUGACUGAACAGAGGAGCAUCUACAGUAAAAGACUAAGACAAAUGCACUGCUCCAAAGAGCACUAUAUGAGGUCAUCCUUACCCUUGGCCAGUGGGCUCUAUAAUGAGUCACCCUAUAGCCGGGGAAGUGAUGACCCCCUCCUGCUGGACUGUUUGAGUUUCAAAAUAACAAAAAAGAAAAUGACCUACUCCCAGGAAUCGAAAUUGUCUACAGAACAGAUGGCAGACUUUUCAAUCUUGCCCGUCUCAAAUCCAAAAUGAAGACAUCCACGAGUUCCCUCAUCGAGUUCCAAUACGCAGAUGACAACAGUGUUGCAGCUCUUUCAGAAAACCACCUACAACAGAUUCUGACUGCCUUCAACUGUGCAUACACAAAACUUGGACUUACCAUCAAUUCCAAGAAGACUCAGAUCAUCUAUCAACCUUCACCAAUUGAGACAAAUCGGAUAGAACCAUCAUUUCAACUUGGCGAAAGAACCCUGGAAAACGUGGACCACUUUCUGUAUCUUGGAAGUCACCUCUCCUCCAAUGUCGACCUUAAUGACAAAAUCCAACAUCGUCUUAAAUGCGCUGGAACAGCUUUUGGACGUCUCCGAACAAGAGUCUUUCAUGAUCGUGACAUCCAAACAGACACCAAGAUGUUAGAGUACUAAACAGUGGUAAUCCCAACACUCCUGUAUGCAUCAGAAACCUGGACAACAUACCGACAACAUCCGAAGGCACUUGAAAAGUUCCAUCAACGCUGUCUUCGAAACAUCUUAAAUAUCAGCUGGGAAGAUAGAACAACCAACGGCAGUGUGCUAAAUGAAUCAAAAACAACAAGCAUUGAAGCCUACGUCAUCAAGAACCAACUAAGAUGGAGUGGUCAUGUUGUUCGGAUGAAGGACGAACGUCUGCCAAAACAAAUCUUCUACUCCCAGCUUAAAGGCGGCAAAUGUAAAAGAGGCGGAUAACAGAAGAGAUUCAAAGAUGUUUUAAAAGCCAACAUGAAGAAAUGUAACAUCAACAUCAACAAUUGGGAAACCAAUGCCAAGGACAGGAAACUCUGGCAAACCAUCAUCCAAGAAGAAACAGCAACUUUCGAAGCCAACAGAUGUGCAGAAUUAGAAGAAAAGAGAAGAAAAUGGAAAGAGAGGCAGCAACAACCAAAGCCCGAUCUGCCAUCUGGAACUACCUGUCCUGAAUGCGGAAGCACUUUCAAAGCCAAGAUUGGACACAUAAGCCACUUGAGAGCCCAUCAGUAGAUCAAAAGAACGAAGACCAUCAUCCUCGACCUCGAGGGAUAGCCACCACA